UGAAUACGAGAUGCUACGGCGUCGAAGCAGUCUGUGUCAUACUUCCAAGAAAAGCUUGCACUGUCAUAAACAAAUAAUGCCUGUACCAUAACCGACACAGGUGGGUAGGUAGAGUAUACUAAGGGGCGCGAGAUAACUCUCUCUAAGGAACUCGGCAAAAUGACUCCGUAACUUCGGGAGAAGGAGUGCCUUAUUUAUAAGGUUGCAAUAACAAGAUCCAAGCAACUGUUUACAAAAAACACAGGUCUCCGCUAAGUCGUAAGACGAUGUAUGGGGGCUGACGCCUGCCCAGUGCCAGAAGGUUAAAGAAGUUGGUUAGCAUCCGCGAAGCUGAUAACUGAAGCCCUGGUGAACGGCGGCCGUAACUAUAACGGUCCUAAGGUAGCGAAAUUCCUUGUCGGGUAAGUUCCGACCCGCACGAAAGGCGUAAUGAUUUGGAUACUGUCUCGGAGAGGGGCUCGGUGAAAUAGACUUGUCUGUGAAGAUGCGGACUACCUGCACCAGGACAGAAAGACCCUAUGAAGCUUUACUGUAACCUGAAAUUGAAAUUGGACUUUACUUGCGCAGUAUAGGUGGGAGGCGUUGAGAAUAUUCUUGCGGGAUUAUUGGAGCCAUCAGUGAGAUACCACUCUUGUAAUGUUAGAUUUCUAACUUUGUAUCAUUAUCUGGUCAAAGAACAGUUUCAGGCGGGCAGUUUGACUGGGGCGGUCGCCUCCUAAACGGUAACGGAGGCGCACAAAGGUUUCCUCUGAACGGGUAGAAAUCGUAUCUAGAGUGUAAAGGCAUAAGGAAGCUUGACUGUGAGACCUACAAGUCGAGCAGGGACGAAAGUCGGUCUUAGUGAUCUGACGGUGCUGAGUGGAAAGGCCGUCACUCAACGGAUAAAAGUUACUCUAAGGAUAACAGGCUGAUCUCCCCCAAGAGUUCACAUCGACGGGGAGGUUUGGCACCUCGAUGUCGGCUCAUCGCAUCCUGGGGCGGUAGUACGUCCCAAGGGUUGGGCUGUUCGCCCAUGAAAGCGGUACGCGAGCUGGGUUCAGAACGUCGUGAGACAGUUCGGUCCAUAUCCGGUGUAGGCGUUAGAAUAUUGAGAGGAGCCUUCUUUAGUACGAGAGGACCGAGAAGGACAUACCUCUGGUGUACCAGUUAUCGUGCCAACGGUAAACGCUGGGUAGCUAUGUGUGGAGUGGAUAACCGCUGAAAGCAUCUAAGUGGGAAGCCCACCUCAAGAUAAG
rnacentral:rRNA from 1 species